GACGAACGCUGGCGGCGUGCUUAACACAUGCAAGUCGAACGGUGAAGCGCCUUCCUUUUUGGUGGGUGUGGAUGAGUGGCGAACGGGUGAGUAACACGUGAGUAACCUGCCCCCUUCUUCUGGAUAACCGCAUGAAAGUGUGGCUAAUACGGGAUAUUCUGGGUCUGUCGCAUGAUGGGUCUGGGAAAGAUAUUGUUUCGGUGGGGGAUGGGCUCGCGGCCUAUCAGCUUGUUGGUGGGGUGAUGGCCUACCAAGGCGGGGACGGGUAGCCGGCCUGAGAGGGUGGACGGUCAGACUGGGGAGGAGGCCCGGCCCAGACUGCUAUGGGAGGCAGCAGUGGGGAAUAUGGGACAAUGGGGGCAAGCCUGAUGCAGCGACGCCGCGGGAGGGAUGGGGGCGUUCGGGUUGUGAACCUCUUUCGCUAGUGAAGCAGGGCUGCCUCGUUUGUGGGUGGGUUGACGGUAGCUGGAUAAGAAGCGCCGGCUAACUACGUG
rnacentral:rRNA from 1 species